rnacentral:rRNA from 1 species
CCCUUAGAUGUUCUGGGCCGCACGCGCGCUACACUGACGAUGGCAACGAGUUUUUCCUUCGCCGAAAGGUGUGGGUAAUCUUUUGAAACAUCGUCGUGCUGGGGAUAGAUCAUUGCAAUUUUUGAUCUUGAACGAGGAAUUCCUAGUAAGCGCGAGUCAUCAGCUCGCGUUGAUUGCGUCCCUGCCCUUUGUACACACCGUCCGUCGCUACUACCGAUUGAAUGGUUUAGUGAGGACUCCUGAUUGGCGCCGCCGCCCCGGCAACGGAGCAGCGGACUGCCGAAAAGUUGUUCAAACUUGAUCAUUUAGAGGAAGUAAAAGUCGUAACA